AUACGGGAGGCAGCAGUCGAGAAUUUUUCACAAUGGGCGAAAGCCUGAUGGAGCGACGCCGCGUGGGGGAUGAAUGGCUUCGGCCCGUAAACCCCUGUCAUUUGCGAACAAUGCGUCCCCGUGAACAGCGGGAGGCGUUGAUAGUAGCAGAAGAGGAAGAGACGGCUAACUCUGUGCCAGCAGCCGCGGUAAUACAGAGGUCUCAAGCGUUGUUCGGAUUUACUGGGCGUAAAGGGUGUGUAGGCGGUCGGGUAAGUCUGAAGUGAAAUCUCUAAGCUCAACUUAGAAAAUGCUUCGGAUACUAUCCGGCUAGAGGGUCGGAGAGGAGAUCGGAAUUCUCGGUGUAGCAGUGAAAUGCGUAGAUAUCGAGAGGAACAUCAGUGGCGAAGGCGGAUCUCUGGACGAAUCCUGACGCUGAGGCACGAAAGCCAGGGUAGCAAACGGGAUUAGAUACCCGCGUAGUCC
rnacentral:rRNA from 1 species